rnacentral:lncRNA from 1 species
CUGGUGCAUCUGGCUGAGGUGUCUCGAAAGCUGUAUCAGAUGUGUCCUGGUACCUGCGCAGCUCCUUGGUUCGGUAGCCCAAGAAAGUCAUGACUUAUGCGAGGAGAAAUGCCAAAGCGGCGGUGAUGCUGCUGAGCGUGGAUUUCCAUCGUCUCCAUCCAGUUGUGAAGAAAGAUGGCUAGAAGUGAAAUAAGGCCAGUAUUUGCUUGUUGUGUUUAUGCUAUGCUAAGGGGCCUGUUUUUUCCCUUUGGGGUCUGCGUGUUUCAUUAGCAGAGUUUUGCAGCAAGGAGGGAUAAUUGAAUAUAUUUUGGGCUGCAACAAGGAGUUCUUCCCUCUAAUACAAUCUUGUUUUUCAGUUUUCACUCUCAGCUUGCUGACAACAUGAUAAAAGAUACCGUGGUGCGUGUGGCUUGUUAAAUAGGCCCUUUACUUCCGAAGAUAGCAUCUCCAAGCUCUUUCUCUAUGGUUUAGCAGUCCCAGAAGAGGAUCUGGUUCUAAGUGAAGCUGAGAAUCCUUUGCUCAUGUGGCCGAAGAAACCCAGGAUUUACGAGAGCGCAGCAUCGCAGUGCUGCUGCGAGAGCCAGCAGCGCUGCCGGGGAACAGUCGGCUCCCACGGCCUCCCUGGACCGAGCGGCUCCAUUUAUCGAGGGAAACACAAAUGCUUCUGCAGGGAUCCGUGUUCAUUCCUGCGUGGCUGAGGCCUCGUGUGGGCUGCCGGCAGCGGCGGGGGGGGGGAACUGCUUAUGGGAAAGGACAGCUGUGAAGCAGCCCCCCGUGCGUGGUACUCCGGAGACCUGCGCUGGCGCUCGUGCUCAGAGGAACAGCCACCUUGGGCUGACUGGUUUUGUUGCAGGGAGCGAAGGAGGAGCAAAGUCCCAAAGGAGCCCUCCUUGGGCGACGGGCGCCUGGGGAUGGUGGCGUCCCAAACCAGGUAGGUGUCAGAGACUUGCCAGGGAGAGCCUGGCCAUGGCCUUUCUUCUGUCAGCUGGAAAAAAUAUAUAUAUAUAUUUGCUGUACUUAUGUGUUUUCAUUAUGCUGAAAUUGCAUGUACUAGCAUUGAAAUCUUUUAUCAGAAGAAAUCUGAAAGUGACUGUUACCCAGCUUGUACCCAGCUUGUGAAAUUCUUGAAAAUCAACCGUCUUCUAGUGAGCCUGUGGGACAGGAAGCUUAAGGUGGAGAAAAAAAGAGUCCUUCUGUUUGCAGGGCAUGAACACUUUAGAAGUUAAUUCUUUCAGUCUGUAGCC